AACGCACAUUGCGCCCCUUGGUAUUCCAUGGGGCAUGCCUGUUCGAGCGUCAUUUGUACCUUCAAGCUUUGCUUGGUGUUGGGUGUUUGUCCCGCGGGACUCGCCUUAAAGUAAUUGGCAGCCAGUGUUUGGUUUUGAAGCGCAGCACAAGUCGCGAUUCAAGGCUACACGCCCGCUUCCACAAGCCUUUUUUCACUUUUGACCUCGGAUCAGGUAGGGAUACCCGCUGAACUUAA
rnacentral:misc_RNA from 1 species